GAUCCAAUGUUUUAAGUCUUCUAGACAAGACUUCUCACCAUCUUCAUCCUUUAGGUGCAUCAUUUGAUUAGGUGUGGACCUUGACGUCUGCACCUCUUGAUACGGUGUCACCCAUGUUCUUCGUUUGCCCAGCAGUUCGAAGUGCGAUACUAGCAAUAUCCUGCUCAGUGUGUUUGUGCUCGUAGAUCCAGGUCCUUCACUUGGUGGAGUCUGGGAGUUGUAAAACUCCUCCAUGUUUUGCUUGAGGUGUACCUAUUCAUAGAGACAAGGCAG
rnacentral:lncRNA from 1 species